UUCGCACCUGUCUCGCACUUUUACCCUCUCUGUGUAUACACCACAACCACCCAACCUCUGUCUCAGCCAACCUUACCACCGCAAAUCAAUAAACCUCACGGCAAAUAAACCUCACGGCAAUCAAACCUCACGACCGCGCAUCCUCAGCACUGUCGGUCCUCGUACGCCGCAAAUUAGCACCGCCACCGCCACUAACAGGCUGAAAAUGAUGUUGUAGGCCAGGAACUUCAGAGGCAACUGGAAGCUGCAGAGAAGGAAUUGAAGCAAGUCCAUGACUUGUUCGGCCAAGCAGCAGAUAACUGCUUGAACUUGAAGAAACCAUAUUGAAUACAAUGAUAGUCCUCAUCAAUUGGCGUUUCUAUCCGUGAGUUCAUUGGUAGACAUCAACUCUGGCGAUUCUUUGACACUUAUGGGCAGUGUUAUGAAGAUAUGAGAGAGUUCCACCAACAUCUUCCUUCAUUGUUGAAACCUGGUGGGAUCUACUCAUUUUUUAAUGGCCUUUGUGGAGGUAAUGCCUUUUUUCAUGUUGUUUACUGUCGGUUGGUUUCUCUAGAACUUGAGAGUUUGGGUUAUUCCACACAGUUAAUACCCUUGCCUAUAAAGGAUUGUUUGGGAGAAGAAGUUUGGAAGGGUGUGAAACACAAAUAUUGGCAAUUGGACACAUAUUACCUCCCUGUUUGUCAGUCUAUACAGGAUUCUGAAUGAUGCUUGGGUCCAUACUAGUUUUUCUUGAUCUUCAACAUGUUUAAUCAGUGGACAAGCCAGUACGUUUUACUGAUCAUAUUUGAAGUUUAGAUGGUUAGGAAAGUUAUGGGAAAUUAUCCUUGAGAGAUCUUGUGCUCUCUUACGUCUGUUUUGUAGUGUGUGACCUUGUGAGUGUAUGCUCUAGAGGUAACUAAAACUUGGUUUUAUUAUAUUCACUUUAUUAGAUCAAGACCCAAGAAUGAGUUUAGCAUUUACUAUUUGUUUGUGUAUCAAUUCUUGCGCAUUCUAUAUUUAUGCUCUGAAGUUUUCUAGCUUCUGAGUAGUGGAAUAAGAUUUAACAAAGUGUGUGCUUUGGUUUAUUUGGAUGCAAUUCCAUGGAAGAAUAAUGAGUUAUAAACUUGACGUAUUUGGUUUAUUCAUUUAUUCUUAAACGGUGGAUUUAUUACAACUUGACAUACUUUACCACUCAUGAUUCUGACCUAUACCACUUAAAUGUUAUCCAUUGUUUUUACACAAGCUAAUGGUGCAUGUUUUGGUAAAUUUGUCUGAUAGAUGCUAGAUCGUUCACAUAAGCUUCUGCAUCUCAUUGUAGGCUAUAUAAUAUAUGAUGGUUUGAUCUUGCAAUAUUAAAUUUUUGUGGAUUGUUUGUUGAGGCUAAUUUUGUUUCUUGAGAAUGGAAGGGAUGAAAUUCUGAUUAAAUGACAAUAGAAUGGGAAUUUGGGAAAUUGCUUCAUGCCAUAUAACUUGCGCUGACAUAAAGAAAUGAUGAUAUAAAGAAAUUGGCAUGGCUGAAUACGUCCUAAACUUAGUCGAAAAAGGGCGUUUCGAGGGCGAAAAUUCAAAGCAACCCUCGAUCCACGGUGUGACUCUCAUGGAUAGCUUUUCCAUGACAAAUAAGACUUAUAACAACUAACGGAACGUAAUUUGGACAUGUAGGUAGAGAGUUAGAGCUAAAUACGCCUUAAACUUACUCGAAAAAGAACUUUUCGGGGACGAAAAUUCAAAAUAGCCUCCAAAUGACCGUGUGACUCUCAUGGAUAGCUUCCCCAUGACAAAUAGGAUUUGUGAGAACUGACGGAACGUAAUUCCGAUCUGUAGGUUGGGAGUUAGAGCCAAAUACGUCCUAAACUUAGUAGAAAAAUGGCGUUUUGGGGUUGAAAAUUCAAAACAGCCCCCGAACCACCAUGUGGCUCACACGGAUAGUUCCCCCAUGACAAAUAGGACUUGUGACAACUGACGGAAUGUAAUCUGGACCCGUAAGUUGGGAGUUAGAGCCGAA